CAACAAAUGUUCUAAAGCAAAAAAACCUUUUCAUUUGGCCAUGAAGAGCUCAGCUUUGUGGGUUAUAGUGGAAUGUGCCACCAGAGUUCUUGGCAUCUCGACUGCUGCAGUGCUUUGUGCAGUGGGUCUAGAGACUCAGAGACAGGGGGAGUUCAACAGCUUGGCCGUCUAUCUCCCUGCUCUCUUCGG